rnacentral:antisense_RNA from 1 species
CUUCACCGACCCCAGCCACAGCGGGGUGUCCGAGGGGCGCUCCUGCCCAUAGGUCGCCAGCAGCGCCUGCGCCUC